GUAGGUGGCAAGCGUUGUCCGGAAUUAUUGGGCGUAAAGCGCGCGCAGGCGGUUCUUUAAGUCUGAUGUGAAAGCCCACGGCUCAACUGUGGAGGGUCAUUGGAAACUGGAGAACUUGAGUACAGAAGAGGAAAGCGGAAUUCCACGUGUAGCGGUGAAAUGCGUAGAGAUGUGGAGGAACACCAGUGGCGAAGGCGGCUUUCUGGUCUGUAACUGACGCUGAGGCGCGAAAGCGUGGGGGAGCAAACAGGAUUAGAUACCCUGGUAGUCCACGCCGUAAACGAUGAGUGCUAAGUGUUAGGGGGUUUCCGCCCCUUAGUGCCGCAGCUAACGCAUUAAGCACUCCGCCUGGGAGUACGGCCGCAAGGCUG
rnacentral:rRNA from 1 species